AAAACUUACCAGGUCAAGACAUGGGCGUGAUUGACAGGCUAAUGACUUUUCUCGAUUCCAUGGAUGGUGGUGCAUGGUCGCACUUAGUUGGUGCAGUGAUUUGUCAGGUUUAUUCCGGUAACGAACGAGACCUCGGCCUUGUAAAUAGCUAUGCUGCUUACAGGGACAUUGGCGGCUACGCCAAGGAAGCUCGAGGCAAUUGCAGAUCUGGAAUGCCCUUAGAUGUCCUGGGUCGCACGCGUGCUACAAUGACGCCACGAACGAGCUUGCGUGAUGAAAGUUACGCAUAAUCAGCAGUCGGCGUCUUAAGGGAUAGUCUCUUGUAACUGUGGGACUCCAACUAGGAAUGUCUCGUAAGCACAAGUCAACAUCUUGUGUUGAUUACGUCCCUGCUCUUUGUACACACCGCCCGUCGCUCCUACCGAUCGAGUGUUUAGGUGAAUUUGAUGGACGUAAGGAAGUCAAAUAAACCUGAGCACUAGAGAAGAGAAGUCGAGCAG
rnacentral:rRNA from 1 species